GGAGUAAUACCCAAGUUGGUGAAGGGGCUUCCCUGCUAAGGAAGUAGACGGCGCAAGCCGUGCGUGAGUUCGAGUCUCACUUACUCCGCCA
rnacentral:tRNA from 1 species